GACGAACGCUGGCGGCGUGCCUAAUACAUGCAAGUUGAGCGCUGAAGGUUGGUACUUGUACCAACUGGAUGAGCAGCGGACGGGUGAGUAACGCGUGGGGAAUCUGCCUUUGAGCGGGGGACAACAUUUGGAAACGAAUGCUAAUACCGCAUAAAAACUUUAAACACAAGUUUUAAGUUUGAAAGAUGCAAUUGCAUCACUCAAAGAUGAUCCCGCGUUGUAUUAGCUAGUUGGUGAGGUAAAGGCUCACCAAGGCGAUGAUACAUAGCCGACCUGAGAGGGUGAUCGGCCACAUUGGGACUGAGACACGGCCCCAACUCCUACGGGAGGCAGCAGUAGGGGAUCUUCGGCAAUGGACGAAAGUCUGACCGAGCAACGCCGCGUGAGGGAAGGAGGGUUUCGGAUCGUAAAACUCUGUUGGUAGAGAAGAACGUUGGUGAGAGUGGAAAGCUCAUCAAGUGACGGUAACUACCCAGAAAGCGACGGCUAACUACGUG
rnacentral:rRNA from 1 species